AUUAUCAUCAGGGUUUCCCAAAAUUGGGUCUCCAGCUGUUUUUGGACUACAAUUCCCAUCGUCCCUGACAACUGUUCCUGCUAGCUAGGGAUGGUGGGAGUUGUAGUCUAAAAACAGCUUGAGGCCCAAGUUUGGGAAACAUUUACUUAUUAGAGC